UAAGGUGGUUAUAGCGACGGGGCUCACCUCUUACCAUUCCGAACAGAGUAGUUAAGCCCGUUUGCGCCGAUGGUACUGCACCGUGGGAGAGUAGGUCGCCGCCUUCU
rnacentral:rRNA from 1 species